GACGAACGCUGGCGGCGCGCUUAACACAUGCAAGUCGAGCGAUGAAAUUUCGACAGAUCCCUUCGGGGUGAAGAUGAAAUGGAUUAGCGGCGGACGGGUGAGUAACACGUGAGUAACCUGCCUUUGACAUUGGGAUAGCCUCGGGAAACUGGGAUUAAUACCAAAUGACACUAACUGAUCACAUGAUCAAUUAGUCAAAGAAAUUCGGUCAAAGAUGGACUCGCGGCUGAUUAGCUAGUUGGUGAGGUAACGGCCCACCAAGGCGACGAUCAGUAGCCGGCCUGAGAGGGUGAUCGGCCACAUUGGAACUGAGACACGGUCCAAACUCCUACGGGAGGCAGCAGUGGGGAAUAUUGCACAAUGGGGGAAACCCUGAUGCAGCGACGCCGCGUGAGCGAAGAAGGCCUUCGGGUCGUAAAGCUCUUUUAUGAGGGAAGAUAAUGACGGUACCUCAAGAAAAAGCCCCGGCUAACUACGUGCCAGCAGCCGCGGUAAUACGUAGGGGGCUAGCGUUGUCCGGAAUCACUGGGCGUAAAGGGUUCGCAGGCGGAAUAACAAGUCAGAUGUGAAAGGCAUGGGCUCAACCCAUGUAAGCAUUCGAAACUGUAAUUCUUGAGAAGUGGAGAGGUAAGUGGAAUUCCUAGUGUAGCGGUGAAAUGCGUAGAUAUUAGGAGGAAUACCUGUGGCGAAGGCGACUUACUGGACACAAAUCUGACGCUGAGGAACGAAAGCGUGGGUAGCAAACAGGAUUAGAUACCCUGGUAGUCCACGCCGUAAACGAUGAGUGCUAGGUGUCGGGGGAGACCUCGGUGCCGGCGUUAACACAAUAAGCACUCCGCCUGGGGAGUACGUGCGCAAGCAUGAAACUCAAAGGAAUUGACGGGGACCCGCACAAGCAGCGGAGCAUGUGGUUUAAUUCGACGCAACGCGAAGAACCUUACCAGGGCUUGACAUACUGAGGGCGUACUUAGAGAUAAGUAUUCUCCUUCGGGAGCCUCAAUACAGGUGGUGCAUGGUUGUCGUCAGCUCGUGACGUGAGAUGUUCAGUUAAGUCUGGCAACGAGCGCAACCCUUACCUUUAGUUACCAGCAUGUAAAGAUGGGGACUCUAAAGGGACUGCCGAUGAUAAAUCGGAGGAAGGUGGGGAUGACGUCAAAUCAUCAUGCCCUAUAUGCCCUGGGCUACACACGUGCUACAAUGGUCGGAACAGAGGGAAGCAACAGAGCGAUCUCAAGCAAAUCUCAUAAAUCCGAUCCCAGUUCGGAUUGCACUCUGCAACUCGAGUGCAUGAAGUCGGAGUUGCUAGUAAUCGCAGAUCAGCAUGCUGCGGUGAAUGCGUUCCCGGGUCU
rnacentral:rRNA from 1 species